CCUCUCAUGGCGUAGUGGUAACGCGCCCCAACUAGAGAUCGGGGAGUCGUGAGUUCGAGUCUCAUUGAGAAGA
rfam:Aedes aegypti strain Liverpool supercont1.744 genomic scaffold, whole genome shotgun sequence.